rnacentral:tRNA from 1 species
GGACGCUUAGCUCAGCUGGUCCAGAGCGCACGCUUCACACGCGUGAGGUCAUAGGUUCAAAUCCUAUAGCGUCCA